UACAGAGGGUGCAAGCGUUGUUCGGAAUUACUGGGCGUAAAGCGUGCGUAGACGGUUAUUUAAGUCGGGUGUGAAAGCCCCGGGCUCAACCUGGGAAUUGCAUUCGAGACUGAAUAGCUAGGGUACGGUAGAGGGAAGUGGAAUUUCCGGUGUAGCGGUGAAAUGCGUAGAUAUCGGAAGGAACAUCAGUGGCGAAAGCGACUUCCUGGACCAGUACCGACGUCAGGCACGAAAGCGUGGGGAGCAAACAGG
rnacentral:rRNA from 1 species